rnacentral:rRNA from 1 species
UACGUAGGGGGCAAGCGUUAUCCGGAUUUACUGGGUGUAAAGGGAGCGUAGACGGAUGGACAAGUCUGAUGUGAAAGGCUGGGGCUCAACCCCGGGACUGCAUUGGAAACUGCCCGUCUUGAGUGCCGGAGAGGUAAGCGGAAUUCCUAGUGUAGCGGUGAAAUGCGUAGAUAUUAGGAGGAACACCAGUGGCGAAGGCGGCCUGCUGGACUGUUACUGACACUGAGGCACGAAAGCGUGGGGAGCAAACAGGAUUAGAAACCCCGGUAGUCAGGCACU